AUUGAACGCUGGCGGCAUGCCUUACACAUGCAAGUCGAACGGCAGCAUGAUCUAGCUUGCUAGAUUGAUGCGAGUGGCGAACGGGUGAGUAAUACAUCGGAACGUGCCCUGUAGUGGGGGAUAACUAGUCGAAAGAUUAGCUAAUACCGCAUACGACCUGAGGGUGAAAGUGGGGGACCGCAAGGCCUCAUGCUAUAGGAGCGGCCGAUGUCUGAUUAGCUAGUUGGUGGGGUAAAGGCCCACCAAGGCGACGAUCAGUAGCUGGUCUGAGAGGACGAUCAGCCACACUGGGACUGAGACACGGCCCAGACUCCUACGGGAGGCAGCAGUGGGGAAUUUUGGACAAUGGGCGAAAGCCUGAUCCAGCAAUGCCGCGUGUGUGAAGAAGGCCUUCGGGUUGUAAAGCACUUUUGUCCGGAAAGAAAUGGCUCUGGUUAAUACCCGGGGUCGAUGACGGUACCGGAAGAAUAAGGACCGGCUAACUACGUGCCAGCAGCCGCGGUAAUAGGUAGGGUCCAAGCGUUAAUCGGAAUUACUGGGCGUAAAGCGUGCGCAGGCGGUUGUGCAAGACCGAUGUGAAAUCCCCGAGCUUAACUUGGGAAUUGCAUUGGUGACUGCACGGCUAGAGUGUGUCAGAGGGGGGUAGAAUUCCACGUGUAGCAGUGAAAUGCGUAGAGAUGUGGAGGAAUACCGAUGGCGAAGGCAGCCCCCUGGGAUAACACUGACGCUCAUGCACGAAAGGUGGGGAGCAAACAGGAUUAGAUACCCUGGUAGUCCACGCCCUAAACGAUGUCAACUAGUUGUUGGGGAUUCAUUUCCUUAGUAACGUAGCUAACGCGUGAAGUUGACCGCCUGGGGAGUACGGUCGCAAGAUUAAAACUCAAAGGAAUUGACGGGGACCCGCACAAGCGGUGGAUGAUGUGGAUUAAUUCGAUGCAACGCGAAAAACCUUACCUACCCUUGACAUGCCACUAACGAAGCAGAGAUGCAUUAGGUGCUCGAAAGAGAAAG
rnacentral:rRNA from 1 species